rnacentral:misc_RNA from 1 species
CCUCCUUUCUAAGGAUGAGUGAAAGUAAAAUUUCACUCUAAAUAAUAUACAUCGGUAAUGUUGACCGUCCUCAUUUCUCUUCUUAAAGUAAUGUUUCCUUCUUGUAGGGCCGGUAGCUCAGUUGGUUAGAGCACACCCUUGAUAAGGGUGGGGUCGAAAGUUCGAGUCUUUCUCGGGCCACCAAAACCUAAAUGGGGGAUUAGCUCAUCUGGGAAAACGCCUGAUUUGCAUUCAGGAAGUAACAAGUUCGAUCCCUGUAUCCUCCACCAGGAAACAUUUAGUUUUAAAACUGUAAUUAAAAUAAUUAUAUCAAUAUCUAUUUCCCAACAUUAAAGUUAUUAUUUAAUGUUCAAAUAAAAUUUGAUCCCAACAUAAAUUAUUUUCUGUUAAAGAAUUUUUUCUGUGCAUAAUCAAGCGUUUAAGGGCGUGUAGUGGAUGCCUUGGCACUGAAAGCCGAUAAGGACGUGA